CAGAGUUGCUGUUUUUUCAACUUUGAUAGCCUACAUUAGACAGCAUGGCUGAAUAUAUUCACCAUCUCCGCCAGCUUGAUCGGAACAGAGAGUUGAUAGGCAGACAUCAGAGAGGCCUUCGUGACCCAUGAACCCUUUUGAAGUGUAUGAUGAUGAGUCAUUUUGGACCAGGUACUGGUUUUCCAAAGAGACAGCGCUCUACCUCAUCAACUUGGUUGAUGAAGAGCUGAGGAGGACGACAGACAGAAAUGACCCAAUACCUAUACAGGGUCAUUCCAAAAGAUGCAUGGUGAUGAGGCACAACUUUCACAAUCUUCUGUAUGCAGAGUCAUCAAAGACGUGUCAGAAGCAUUUGCAAGAAGAAGGAAACAAUUCAUGAAGUUCCCAACAUCAAGAGAAGAAGUAGAAGCAACACAGCAGCAGUUCUACCAUUACUGCAGGUUGCCAGGUUUUCUAGGUGCAAUUGAUAGGACUCAUGUCUACAUCAGGAGUCCUGGUGGAGAUCAAGCCCUGUAUUUUAUUAAUAGGAAGAACAGAUACUCUAUUAAUGAAAUGAAAAUUUUCCCUUUUUUUUUGGAGAUGCUCCCCAUUUACUUUUAAUCCAAUUAAUUAAAUGACCGAUAUGGAAUUGGUUCACCCUUUAGUUUCUCUGAACGAAACGUACACCCAUGCAGUACUGUGG